CCUACGGGAGGCAGCAGUGGGGAAUAUUGGGCAAUGGGCGCAAGCCUGACCCAGCAACGCCGCGUGAAGGAAGAAGGCCUUCGGGUUGUAAACUUCUUUUGUCAGGGACGAAGAAAGUGACGGUACCUGUCGAAUAAGCCACGGCUAACUACGUGCCAGCAGCCGCGGUAAUACGUAGGUGGCAAGCGUUAUCCGGAUUUACUGGGUGUAAAGGGCGUGUAGGCGGGAGAGCAAGUCAGACGUGAAAUUCCAGGGCUCAACCCUGGAACUGCGUUUGAAACUGUUCUUCUUGAGUGAAGGAGAGGCAGGCGGAAUUCCGUGUGUAGCGGUGAAAUGCGUAGAUAUACGGAGGAACACCAGUGGCGAAGGCGGCCUGCUGGACAUUAACUGACGCUGAGGCGCGAAAGCGUGGGGAGCAAACAGGAUUAGAUACCCUAGUAGUC
rnacentral:rRNA from 1 species